rnacentral:rRNA from 1 species
AGUGAACGCUGGCGGUAGGCUUAACACAUGCCAGUCGAACGGCAGCACAGUAAGAGCUUGCUCUUACGGGUGGCGAGUGGCGGACGGGUGAGGAAUACAUCGGAAUCUACUUUUUCGUGGGGGAUAACGUAGGGAAACUUACGCUAAUACCGCAUACGACCUACGGGUGAAAGCAGGGGAUCUUCGGACCUUGCGCGAUUGAAUGAGCCGAUGUCGGAGUAGCUAGUUGGCGGGGUAAAGGCCCACCAAGGCGACGAUCCGUAGCUGGUCUGAGAGGAUGAUCGGCCACACUGGAGCUGGGACACGGUCCAGACUCCUACGGGAGGCAGCAGUGGGGAAUAUUGGACAAUGGGCGCAAGCCUGAUCCAGCCAUACCGCGUGGGUGAAGAAGGCCUUCGGGUUGUAAAGCCCUUUUGUUGGGAAAGAAAAGCAGCAGGUUAAUACCCCGCUGUUCUGACGGUACCCAAAGAAUAAGCACCGGCUAACUUCGUG